GUAGGGGGCAAGCGUUAUCCGGAUUUACUGGGUGUAAAGGGAGCGUAGACGGCAAGGCAAGUCUGAUGUGAAAACCCAGGGCUUAACCCUGGGACUGCAUUGGAAACUGUCUGGCUCGAGUGCCGGAGAGGUAAGCGGAAUUCCUAGUGUAGCGGUGAAAUGCGUAGAUAUUAGGAAGAACACCAGUGGCGGAGGCGGCUUACUGGACGGUAACUGACGUUGAGGCUCGAAAGCGUGGGGGGCAAACAGGAUUAGAUACCCUGGUAGUCCACGCCGUAAACGAUGAAUGCUAGGUGUUGGGGAGCAAAGCUCUUCGGUGCCGCCGCAAACGCAUUAAGCA
rnacentral:rRNA from 1 species